GGUGAUGUAGCUCAGUUGGUAGAGCACCAGACUGAAAAUCUGGGGGUCGGCGGUUCAAGUCCGCCCGUCACCACAA
rnacentral:tRNA from 1 species